GAUGAACGCUAGCGGCAGGCCUAAUACAUGCAAGACGAACGGUAAGUUGAGUAGCAAUACUUAGCCAAGAGUGUCGUACGGGUGCGUAACACGUAUGCAACCUACCCUAUACAGGAGGAUAGCCUAGGGAAACCUGGAUUAACCCUUCAUAGUAUUAUUGGAUGGCAUCAUUUGAUAAUUAAAACUGAGGUGGUAUAGGAUGGGCAUGCGUCUGAUUAGUUAGUUGGCGGGUAAUGGCCCACCAAGACGAUGAUCAGUAGGGGUUCUGAGAGGAAGAUCCCCCACACUGGCACUGAGAUACGGGCCAGACUCCUACGGGAGGCAGCAGUAGGGAAUAUUGGGUCAAUGGAUGCAAGUCUGAACCAGCCAUGCCGCGUGCAGGAAGAAGGCCUUUUGGGUGUAAACUGCUUUUGCCAGGGGAUAAAAUUUCCAUGCGUGGAAAACUGAAGGUACCUGGUGAAUAAGCCACGGCUAACUACGUGCCAGCAACCGCGGUAA
rnacentral:rRNA from 1 species